AUGUCCCUCUUCAGCGAUGCCAAGGUUCAGUUGCAUCUUGCUGCUGAAAUUGUCCUCCGGCUGGACAUCGCCCAGGAAAAGCAUCGUCUCACGCCUGCAGAAUUCAAUCUUCGGAAGCAACUGAAGCAGAGGAUUGUUGGCCUCGCCGCGAUCGAAUGCGCGCGCAAGAGGCAGGCGUCAAGGAUCACUUGGCUCAAGGCCGGGGACGCAAAAACUGCAUUCUUCCAAGCAAAGAUAAACUCUCGCAGGAGGAAGAAUUUCAUCCACUCCCUGCAAGCUGGAUCCACCACGACCACCUCCCACGCUGACAAAGCCGACGUCGUCCACAAGCACUUCGUUUCCCUGCUUGGCACUAAGCAAGAUCGCGGCUGCUCCAUCAACUGGGAGGCGAUCGACCUGCCAACAGUGCAAGAUGCAGGC
rnacentral:rRNA from 1 species